UACGAGGGGGGCAAGCGUUGUUCGGAGUUACUGGGCGUAAAGGGCUCGUAGGCGGCCAACUAAGUCAGACGUGAAAUCCCUCGGCUUAACCGGGGAACUGCGUCUGAUACUGGAUGGCUUGAGAUUGGGAGAGGGAUGCGGAAUUCCAGGUGUAGCGGUGAAAUGCGUAGAUAUCUGGAGGAACACCGGUGGCGAAGGCGGCAUCCUGGACCAACACUGACGCUGAGGAGCGAAAGCCAGGGGAGCAAACGGG
rnacentral:rRNA from 1 species